AGUAGAAGAAGCACAGAAGUAUUGUGAAGAUGAACAAAUAUUGACUCCAGUAUGUGUAAAUGCAUGGCAGGUCUUUCACUGUGCUGUUCUGAAUGAAAGUAAAGAUUUAUACUGGGAGCAGUCUCUUCUGCCUAAGCAGUAACAUCACUGGAAAUGACUGUAUGUGGGAUUUCUUAGACCCUAAAGGGAAAAAUCAUGCAGAGAGCUGAGUUUGAAAGCCCCGGGAUUACAGCUGUCCUGACCUCACAGAUAAGAACCGGGCUUUUGUCCAUGUCUGCCUAACCCUUACACACUUUGUCUUCUGUACAGUUUCACGAUGAUGUUAGGAUUUUGUUUUUAGCUUGCAGGUCUCACCUUUAUUCAAAACAGCAUAAAAAGUUUUAUUAAAAAUAUAUCUAUUACUCUUUAGCAUGUCCCCAUUCACAAUAGCACUAUAAACUCAAUCUAGUCAUCUAGGUCAACCAAAGGAGUCAAACCAUCUCUCUGGGAUUUUCUAAUUUCCACUUGGCCACCACUCCAUCAAAAUCUACUCUUUUCCAUUACAGAACAAAGGUCUAUUCAGUUUCUGCACGUGGAAUAAGUUGGGCACGAGGUGUGUAGAAGAAAGGGUCCUGUGUUACCAGACUACAAUUCCAGAACAGCCAUUCUGCGAAAUCUGUUCCCAGUCAUGAGAGUCAACCAGACUGUCCAGCAGCAAGUGCACAUGACAGACUUUCAUCUGUCAGUCAGUCAGAUCCAGAAAGUAAGAUGCCCUCAGCUAAAGAGGCCCUAUUAUUACAUAUGGAAAGCAGUCAUUAAGCUCAUCACUGUCAAAGAAGUCAAAGGAGAAGAUAUAAAUGUGGGAGUAUGAUGCUUGAUCAGAUCCAGGGCCUAGGAAGAGCCAGAGGAACAGUGUUUCCUUUUGCUACGUUCCGGGUCCAAUUCCCACAGGACAAUGCAACAAGGACCAUCUGCACACUUGACAGAUUCUGUGCAAGAGAGGGUGACGCCGCCCAUGCCCUCCAACUUGUGCACCAUACACACAGUCUUGCCUACAGUCCCCAACAAAAGAGCAGCUGUGGAGUAGCCACGGGAGACAUGCAGGAGUGCAUGGCAUAUCUGGAGAGCUGCCACGGAACUUCUGUACUGAGUGGAUCCUCAGCAAGUAUUUUCUUGCUAAGAAUCUUUGCGAUAUUGCAAAGUUUUGUGAGCUUUAGGACAGAGUUUUAAAAUAAAUCAAGCAUUCAUUGAUAACCACUCACAAAUUUAUUUUAAAACAAUCAUUUUGGCAUACUUAUGAUUUUAUUG